rnacentral:rRNA from 1 species
CGCGUAGGUGGUUUGUUAAGCGAGAUGUGAAAGCCCCGGGCCUAACCUGGGAACGGCAUUUCGAACUGGCAGGCUAGAGUGUGGUAGAGGGUAGUGGAAUUUCCUGUGUAGCGGUGAAAUGCGUAGAUAUAGGAAGGAACACCAGUGGCGAAGGCGGCUACCUGGACCAACACUGACACUGAGGUGCGAAAGCGUGGGGAGCAAACA